AGGACACUGAAGAUGAAGGGCUUGACUGGCCUGGCAGACUCGGAUGUGAAGGAAAACAGAGGUUGGGACAGGGGAGCCGGGUACCGUUAGGACUGCCCUAUGCAGGGGCCUCAGCCUACGCCCCCAAAGCUUCUUUCUUGUUGGGAUUGGGAGGAAGCUGAAGGUGAUCAUUGCCAAAAGCAGUUCUCUCUCGUUAAAAACAACCAGUAAAAGUGUAACCUUUCUUUUUUUUUUUUUUUUUUUUGGUACAAGGCCUUUCAUUUUCCUUUUUUUAUGGGAAACCAAGGGAAAAAGCACACUGCGAUCUAGUCAAGUGUUUUACUGUUGUGGCUCAUUGUAUGUUUGUCAACCCUUGUAUGAACCUGGACAGACCUCUCCUGUGUGUCGCUUAGUCAGAGAACUCAAGUACGCCCUUAGGUAGGAAGAUUUUUUUUUUUACACAUGUCUACCAGUCGGCAGGCAGAACAGAGUUCAGACAACUCAGCUUCCAAAGGGCCCAUCCACCUCCGGCAGUAUCUGUGACCUUGAUCUAUAUACCACCUCUGUCCACAGAUACCAAGAGGGAAAAAAAGGCAAAAAAAAAAAAAAAAAUUCAAAUAAAAAGCAUGCGUGCAAGCUGCUCGUUUACAUGUGUUUUGAGCUAUGCUUAACACACAACCGAAAAGCCAUCAAUCUUCAAAGGCCUCAGAAUUACUUUUGUAAUAACUAACCAGCGCACAGUCUUAGUCGAGUUACUAAAGAUGGCGCAGGAGUCUCUGUGGAGGUAGUGCGUGUGCAUCUGUGCAAGCGCAAGGCUUGCAGGGUUACUUCUGCAAAGCCUUCCUGUGGGAAGUGCACCUAGGACCAGGAGCCAGGAGGAAAGCAAAUGUAGAAGUUAGCUGUGGCAUCAAACGAAAAGACUUUGCUUCUCGUGUAUGUAAAUCAAAGAAUAACAAUAGACUCUAUGAGACCAGGAAGGUUAAGAAAUGGAUGGGGGGGGGGGGGCUGCGGAUUUAGCUCAGUGGUAGAGCGCUUACCUAGGAAGCGCAAGGCCCUGGGUUCGGUCCCCAGCUCCGAAAAAAAGAACCAAAAAAAAAAAAAAAAAAAAAAAAAAAAAGAAAUGGAUACCGGAAAGGGCUAAUCCUGUGGCUCACUUUGCAGUGGCUUGGAAAGCUCUGGAAGUCAAGUGGGGGCAUUCAUACCAUAUGGCUCGCCACGGCCUUCUCUCGCCCAUUCGAGGCUGGGUACCCCAGAGCUGGGCAUGAUGAGCCCAGCUUCCAGAAACAGUACUCUUCCCAGACACGUCAGGGAUAACCCUAUAGGAAGGGUAGGAACUGGAUACAAUGGUACAAAAUGACCCUGGGGCUCCAUGGAGACGGGGCUACCUUUGUUGCUCCUAGUUCAAUAAUGGGAGCUACAAAAGAGGUUCUUUGGGGGAUUAUUCCUUCCUUCCUUAGCUAAUAGGAAAUGUGACACACUGUGCCCAUUUUCUUUGAUCCCAAAGGAGAUGCCUGAGUAAUUAGCCUGAACUAUGGUGCAACAAAGUCCAAAAGGAAACAAAGAACAAGACAAGGUUACAUGGUUACGGGUUGUAACACAGACAGUGGUUUGGAAAUCAAUUCCGAAGUCCUUCGGAUCUAUGAGAGAUACAGAGAGAAUUUAAGUGUAAUAGAUCUGGGGAGCAGAGGGAAUCGGAGUGGGAGCCGUGAACACCAUCGCGAUGGUCUGGUAGUAAGGACAGAGAUUAAGUAAAACAGGUUUUACUGUUUAGCUGUGUUCGGUUACUACAAUGUACAUAGUAUAGUAAGCGUUAGUCCUUUGAGACGGACAUGAUAAAUGGUCGCUGUGGUUGGUGGUGAACGCUCUAGCUAUUGUAUCCAAGCACCUGAAAACUCUUGACAGAUCCCCAUUUCUUUAAAGGAAGAUGAAACAUGAAGUCCCCAGUCUGAUCUAAAGCCCCUAUUGGAUUCGUCGGGUACAUGUAAGAGAUUGCUUGUUUCAGCCAGAAAACUAUGUUGUGAGCCAGGUUGGUUUCUCUUGUUUUAUGCAGGUGAGUGUUGGAACUGUUCAAAACCCGGUUCGUUUUUCAUCCAGUAUUAGUUUAGUUCUAAAUAUAGCAAGCCUCACCCAGGUGCUAUCAGAUGACCAAUUACUGCUUAGUUAACUAGGUGUAAAGUUUUACAUAUCCAUUCAUGUCAAUAGUUUAUUACGAGUUGUGGAAAAUGGACUCUAGUUUAAUAAUUGGGGGGAAAGGUUAGGUCGCUCCUGACUGACUGUAGAGCAUGUAAGAUGAUUUUCCUGGAUUCUGUUCAACUGUAACCAAUGAAAAAGAUGUAUGUUGUAGACAAAGUUGCAGAAUUAAAAAAAAGAAAUCUGCUUUUAAUUUAUUCUUUUUGUAUUAAGAAUUUGUAUAGUACCUUUACAUUUUUCAGAACAGUGUUGUCAACACUUAUUAAAGCAUUUUCAAAAUGAAAAC
rnacentral:lncRNA from 1 species